UCGGUUUGUCCUAAGUCAAAUCUCUUCAAGUUUGACCAAGUUUAUAGAAAAAUAUAGCAACAUUACCAACACAAAAUAAUUUACUAUAAAAUAUAUUCAAUGAUGGAUUUAAUAAAACUAAUUGGUGCUGUAGAUGUUGCUAUAUUUUUCUAUAAACAUGGUCAAACUUGAAGAGGUUUGACUUCGGACAUACCCAA
rnacentral:pre_miRNA from 1 species